CCCGCUCUCUCCUCUUAGUUCCGUUUUUUCUUCUCUUCACGAGCUCCAAGCGCUCCGGAACUAGUUUCUGUUCUCCUUCGCAUUGUAGGAGUGUUGCAGGCAGGACUUCUUUGUUCUCUUGGUUUUCUUUCCCUUCUACGAUUGCAGUGGCGAUGGUCAAGGCGGAGCUUCAUUCUGGUGCUGCAGUGCGGUGUGCUGGUGGUAGCGUGCGGCUGAGCAGCUUGAUACUGGACUCAGUCCUUGUUAAAGCACUUGGGCAUCAACUCAGCUCCGUGAAGUGGCAAAGGCGUCCAACUCCCAAUUCACAAAUUCCCCCUCUUAUUUUAGUAGUAAUUGUAAGGGUGUCAAAUCGUCUUGCAACCACAAUGGUCGACUACUUGAAUUCUCGGAGGGGUGCAAUUCUUAUUCUGGAUCAACCUAGUGGAUGUCCUUCUGGUGGCAGGCAUCUCAAUACUCUCCGACCGUUCUAUCGUCUUGGUGUAGGAUCUUGUUGCAGAGCAAGGAGUGCUCUACAUUGUCGUUCGACCAAAUCUUCCAACUCACCCUAGGAAAUAGAUCCAGUGCGGUCUCUGAUGCAUUUGGAGCAAGAACCAAGAACAUUAGAAUUGCGAUUAUGCAAAAGGCAGGGAAAAUGUGUUACUCAAUAGAACUUCCAGUAGUUAAUUAGUACCAAGGCUUGCUGAGAUUAGUGUCCAUCUACAAGGCGUGCCAACUAGUUUAAAAUUCAUAACCGUUUCCUCAAGCUACAAUGGAAUUGGCCCAGAUGGUGGAUUAGGUGUUGUAAGGAAGCUUUGGUUGUCCUUAGCAACUCGUCUGAGGAAGUGCUGGAGCCGUAGUGGCUAGACGCUGAGACGUCGGAUGUUGGAGAAGAAAAGAACUAGGCUAGUGGUCGUUGUCUUCUUCUUGCUGCGGUACAGUCAACUUCAGCGAACUCACCUUCAACCAUCCAAUUGCUUCUAUGAGAAUUUCUAAGGAAUAGUUGUGUGUAGGCAACCAAGUUAAAUUAAAUACAAUUUAAGACAAGCAAUUAGGAUUGAUAUCAA